rnacentral:rRNA from 1 species
CCCUUAGAUGUCCUGGGCUGCACGCGCGCUACACUGAUGUGUUCAGUAAGCACCUAACCUCUUCCGAAAGGAACGGGUAACCUUUGCAAAGCACAUCGUGAUGGGGAUAGAUUAUUGCAAUUAUUAGUCUUGAACGAGGAAUUCCUAGUAAGCACAAGUCAUCAGCUUGUGUUGAUUACGUCCCUGCCCUUUGUACACACCGCCCGUCGCUCCUACCGAUUGAAUGUUCCGGUGAGCUCUUCGGACUGCGCGGUCUGCAGUUUCUGCGUUCCGUGCGGAAAGUUGCGCAAACCUUAACAUUUAGAGGAAGGAGAAGUCGUAACA